rnacentral:rRNA from 1 species
GACGAACGCUGGCGGCGUGCUUAACACAUGCAAGUCGAACGGUGAACUCCGCUUGCGGGGGGAUCAGUGGCGAACGGGUGAGUAACACGUGGGCAACCUGCCCUCAGCUCUGGGAUAACUCCAAGAAAUUGGGGCUAAUACCGGAUAUGACCGCUGACCGCAUGGUCUGGUGGUGGAAAGAUUUAUCGGCUGGGGAUGGGCCCGCGGCCUAUCAGCUUGUUGGUGGGGUAGUGGCCUACCAAGGCGACGACGGGUAGCCGGCCUGAGAGGGUGACCGGCCACACUGGGACUGAGACACGGCCCAGACUCCUACGGGAGGCAGCAGUGGGGAAUAUUGCGCAAUGGGCGAAAGCCUGACGCAGCGACGCCGCGUGGGGGAUGACGGCCUUCGGGCUGUAAACCUCUUUCAGCAGGGACGAAGCGAAAGUGACGGUACCUGCAGAAGAAGCACCGGCCAACUACGUG